rnacentral:tRNA from 1 species
AUCUAAGUGGUUUAAGAUUUAAAAUAUUGAUUUGUGGUGUCAGUGAUGUAUUAAUUACCUUAGGUU